CCUGAGCCACAUCAAAUUUCCCUUUUAGAAAGCCCAGCUGUGACUCCCAUAUUCUGCUGUUAAUGGAAAUCCAACCUCUGGAUUUCUCAGAUUGGUAGAGACUGGUUCUCUGGCCCGUAUCUGUGGCUUUUACCAAAUGUGUCUUUUGGAACUAUUUUAUGCUUGGCCAUAAGUACAAUCACACCAUUGAUGAGCCUUGUUUCCUAAAGCACCUUUUUGGUGAACAGAGACAACGCAAGUAGUUUGUAGCAGCUUUUGCCAGCAGGCCAUUUAAAAUCAUUUUGUAACAUAAAAAUACAGUUUCUGCCAAUUUUUUUAACUAAUACAAAUAAACUGGUAAAUAUUUGAGGGGCUUUUGGGGUUUUAAUGCGUGCACUGAGAUUACUGAGGUAGAACUUAUUCCUGUGAUUAACUGUACAGAGCAGCAAUCCUAGUAUUGACAACUAGAAGUGAUUAUUGCAGUAAUAAGUUGCCUGCAAUGCACCACUCUUGUGUGUGUGUUUAAUUUCGUUUCCUUUCCCGGAUGAUGUAUGUCAUCUGUAGGAAAUAAAGUACCUGAAUUAUUCCAUGGAUUUGAGAUGCUUGCAGCUGACUGUGAAAGAUCUGAAUUGAGACUCGCAAGGCCCAUCUGCUUGCAUCAGGACUGAAUCUAAAACGUUCUGAUUUGGAUAAAAGAUGGAAGUGCCAGUCACUGCAAACCUUCUCGUAACCUGCCGAGGGGAACUGAAGCAGAAAGCAAAGCCGAGACAAAGCAGCGUCUGACCUUGUCACUGGGGGGCAGAAAACAGCCACUGGUUCCACUGGUGCUUCCAUCAAAGCUCCCCCGAGCCAUGUGGAACUGCAGCUCGCUCAGAAAGCACAAGUUCUUUCCCGGUCCAUGGGGUGAAUAAAAGUUAUUAACUCUUGGCUUGAUUUGUCAUCCUUUGGGGAAAAAAAAAAAUUAAUAAUAAUAAUUAAAAAAAAAAAAAGAGCAAUGUCAGACUGGCAAUUAAAUAGCCGUGCUGUUAGACUGAGCGCAACUGGAAGUGGGUUGUCCCGGAGGUGAGAGUGACUUGGGCCAGCAAAGCCAAGGAGAAGCCUGUUCAACUCCACAUCUGCCCGGGAUUCCUUGGAGAGGUGAUAAAGGGAGUAACAAGACAAAGUGGGAGUUGGAAAGCGGAUGCGACAGCUUCAGCAGGACUUGUCUUCAGUGCCACGUCCGCUCGUGAAACAAAAAAGCACGUAACGUUACUCUGAAAACAAUUUGAGGGGAAAAAAAAUGCACUUUGAGCAUCUCUGCAGUUCCUUUGUCU
rnacentral:lncRNA from 1 species